UUGGCAUUGAUAUAGUAUAUUCCUUUCUCUGUACAGUUCAUACAAAACUACCAUUAUAUUUCUACAUAUUUCAUUACAUAUCACGAAUGCAAUUCAUAAAAUUUAUAUUAACUAGGUGCGGCGUAGGGUGAUUGCGAGUCUUAUUUAUGAUGCAUUUGAAGCGAAACUGUUUUUCUUCUUAUGGGAAAAACAGAACGCGACGAACAUAAGCCGAAGGGGUGUAUAUUGUCUACACGUGGAACAAACUAAGUUUUGAUUCAAGCGAGUAAAGAAAUGGGGCAAUGUGAAAAUGCAUUGUCAUACAGGAACAAAAAAUGUACAAUUGGGGGAAUUCGUAACCGUACUCAAAUUUCGCUAUUCGUUCAUAGGAGUCCGAGACGUAUGAAAUCCGAUGAAUUCCACACAACCGUUCCCCUGUAAACAAAGAAAGCAGACGAGUUUUGAUUCAAUCUCAUGUGAAGGUAGUCUCACUACAGAAUAUUCUUUCUCGAUCUUUGACAGAGGUUGACUAAUCCUCCAUACCAAACGUUCAAUGACGUUGCUUUUGUCAUAACCCCAUCUAAAGAAUGUACAGUAUACAGACUUGCAUCAAUAGAGACUAGCUGUUUUAAACAUAACAUAAAACAUAAUACAGAAUGUCACAUUUUUUUGCCUAUAUACAUAUUCUUGCUAAAUGUUAGAGAUGUGUAUUUUCGGCUGACAGCAUUAUUUGCUGUUACGUAGGAAAUCUGUUGCAUUAUUUGGAAAUCUGUUUUGAACCAUAAUAGUUGUUAUUUUUGGCAGACCUAUAUUGGGAAAUUGCCAGCUAAGCAUAAUUGAGAAAACGCCGAAAUUUUGUCUGUUAGCUGCAGCCUGGAUAGGGAUGUGCCGGGUACUGUUUUGGCGGAUACCGGAUGAGACCAGAUAGCAGUAUACCCAGAGCAGUCUACUGGAUAAUAACCGGAUACCGAUGGUGGUACUCGGGCACUACGUCACCCAUCCUUUGUCAUAAGAUAUUCCAUUGUCGGUUUAGUAUAUGGCACAAAGAUCGUCAGACAAUUUACAACAGAGAGCAGUUUGCAUCACAAAAACCUGUAAUUUCGUUUUAAUGUCUCAGAUGUCCGGUAGACUAUAGUUGUUUGGGUUUCUCAAUAUCUUAACGCAAAACAGACGGUUUUGUUGUUAUGAUAAAGGGUAUGAUAAAGGGAUAAUCUGGUAAGUAUCCAGCAAAUUUUUACUGGACAGCAGAUUGUGCCGGAUGCUGUCUAUAUUUCCCGGCACAUCCCUAACCUGGAGAUAAUAC